GACGAACGCUGGCGGCGUGCUUAACACAUGCAAGUCGAACGGAAAGGCCCUGCUUUUGUGGGGUGCUCGAGUGGCGAACGGGUGAGUAACACGUGAGUAACCUGCCCUUGACUUUGGGAUAACUUCAGGAAACUGGGGCUAAUACCGGAUAGGAGCUCCUGCUGCAUGGUGGGGGUUGGAAAGUUUCGGCGGUUGGGGAUGGACUCGCGGCUUAUCAGCUUGUUGGUGGGGUAGUGGCUUACCAAGGCUUUGACGGGUAGCCGGCCUGAGAGGGUGACCGGCCACAUGGGGACUGAGAUACGGCCCAGACUCCUACGGGAGGCAGCGGUGGGGAAUAUUGCACAAUGGGCGGAAGCCUGAUGCAGCAACGCCGCGUGCGGGAUGACGGCCUUCGGGUUGUAAACCGCUUUCGCCUGUGACGAAGCGGGAGGGACGGGAAUGGGGAAAGAAGCACCGGCUAACUACGG
rnacentral:rRNA from 1 species